GGCAGGACCAGGGUGAGUGUGCGCAGGCGCUCUGCCUAUGCUGAGCUGCUGGUCGCAGUACACGCCUGGGUUCUGUAGGGAGGGUUCAGUCUUUCCGGCUGCGGAGGGAGCGGGAGAGGGUUCAAGAUGGAGUCCGACGCGCACGGUGGAGGAGCCAGCAGGGCAGCCGAUGAAGACCCUGGUGCCGCGGAAUUUGCAGUGGGCACAGCACGUGGUAGCUGCAGCGAGCCGGGUGGUGCUGGUGGCCAGGAUGACCCUGGCGACCCAGCUGGCCCUGGUGAUGCCAUCAGCCGUGGAGUUCAUGGAGGCGCUGGUGACCUGGCUGGUCGCAGAGGCCCCAGCGCUGCAGGAGAGUCAAGUGGUGCAGCUGGUGCCAUUCUGCAGAUCCUGGGGCCAUCACACGCUCCAGGGCCUGGUGGAGCUACUCCACCUGCAGCCGCAGUUCUGAGUAAUUGAGCCUUCCAGUUCAGCCUCACUGUGCCUUUCACAUCACACAUGGAUGCGGGCCUUGUCCGCCACUUCCUGACUGCACGUACUCAACUGCGAGGGCCGAUUUGGAAGGAGCUCGACGUUAAUGGUCGCAUGCUGGUUCUCCGAUUGACUGCUGAAGACCCUGGCCUGCUCCAGAACUCCAUCGUCUUCUGUCUGGAGCAGCUUUCCCUGGUGAUGCGGUCCUUGCAGCGUUUGGGGGGCCCUGUUUCUCGGCACAGAAGAAGGUUUUAAACCCAGCCUAUGUGCCCUAGCUUCAGGUGUCGUUCCCCAGGGCAUUGCUUUUCUGCAGUACUUUGAUCGGGCUUCAUCUUAUGUCUGUGCUGCUUUUUGGGGCUCAGUGUCUACAUAGUUGUUUGGAGAUUGUUAACUGCAGAAAAUAAAACUGAGCUUUUGUGCUGUC